AAAGUGGAGCAAUCCAUGAGUAGAGUGGCAAACGGGUGAGUAACGCGUGGGUGACCUGCCUUCGAGUGGGGGAUAACGUUCCGAAAGGGACGCUAAUACCGCAUGACAUCCGGCCUUUGAAGAGGCGGAGAUCAAAGCUGGGGAUCGCAAGACCUAGCGCUCGAUGAGGGGCCCGCGUCUGAUUAGCUAGUUGGUGGGGUAACGGCUCACCAAGGCAACGAUCAGUAUCCGGCCUGAGAGGGCGGACGGACACACUGGGACUGAGACACGGCCCAGACUCCUACGGGAGGCAGCAGUGGGGAAUUGUUCGCAAUGGGCGCAAGCCUGACGACGCAACGCCGCGUGGAGGAUGAAGAUCUUCGGGUCGUAAACUCCUUUCGAUCGAGACGAACAGCCUUCGGGUAAACAAUCCGGAGGUUUGACGGUACCGAGAGAAGAAGCCCCGGCUAACUCCGUGCCAGCAGCCGCGGUAAUACGGGGGGGGCAAGCGUUGUUCGGAAUUACUGGGCGUAAAGGGCUCGUAGGCGGCCAACUAAGUCAGACGUGAAAUCCCUCGGCUUAACCGGGGAACUGCGUCUGAUACUGGAUGGCUUGAGUUUGGGAGAGGGAUGCGGAAUUCCAGGUGUAGCGGUGAAAUGCGUAGAUAUCUGGAGGAACACCGGUGGCGAAGGCGGCAUCCUGGACCAACACUGACGCUGAGUGAGCGAAAGCCAGGGGAGCAAACGGGAUUAGAUACCCCGGUAGUCCUGGCCCUAAACGAUGAAUGCUUGGUGUGGCGGGUAUCGAUCCCUGCCGUGCCGAAGCUAACGCA
rnacentral:rRNA from 1 species